AUCCAGCUGUCGAGUCUCAAAUAGGACAAGACGCACGUUCUGGAU
rfam:Schistosoma haematobium scaffold209_5, whole genome shotgun sequence.